GGGUUUUUUUGGGGUUUCUUUGGGAUUUCUUUGGAAUUUUUUUGGGAUUUUUUUGGGAUUUUUUUUGAAUUAUUUUUAAAUUUUUUGGGGAUUUUUUGGGGGAUUUUUUGGGAUUUUUUGGGGAUUUUUUUGGGAUUUUUUUUAGAUUUCUUUGGGAUUUUUUGGGAUUUUUUUCAGGAUUUUUUGGAAUUUUUUUGGGGAUUUUUUGGGAUUUUUUGGGGUUUUUUGGGGAUUUUAUUUUGGAUUUUUUUGGGAUUUUUUGGGGGAUUUUUUGAGGAUUUUUUGGGAUUUCUUUGGGAUCUUUUUGGGAUUUUUUUUUUAUUUUUUUUGAAUUUUUGGGGGAUUUUUCGGGGAUUUUUUUGGGGAUUUUUUGAGGAUUUUUUGGGGAUUUUUUUGGGGAUUUUUUGGUGGAUUUUGGGGUGAGGAAAUGAGGAUUUUGGAGUGUGGGGGAGGGGCCAGGUGUGUCCAGGUGUGUCCCCAGGUGUGUCCAGGUGUCCCCAGGUGCGUUCCAGACCAGGUUCCAGAACGUUCUAGAGGUUCUAGACUCGGUUCUAGAUCGGGUUCUAGAUCGGGUUCUAGAACGUUCUAGGUACGUUCCAGAUCAGGUUCUAGAACGUUCUAGAUCGGGUUCUAGGUGUGCUCUAGGUACGUUCUAGAGGUUCUAGAUCACGUUCUAGAACGUUCUAGACUCGGUUCUAGACUCGGUUCUCGAUCGGGUUCCGGACUGUUCCAGAACCGGUUCCAGACUGGGUUCCAGAGCAGGUUCCAGACUGGGUCCCCAGGUGUGUCCAGGUGUGUCCCAGGUGUCCCCAGGUGUGUCCAGGUGUCCCCAGGUGUGUUCAGGUGUUCUCCAGGUGUGUUCAGGUGUGUCCAGGUGUUCUCCAGGUGUAUCUCAGGUGUAUUUUAGGUGUCCCCAGCUGUUCUAGGUGUAUCUCAGGUGUCCCCAGGUGUAUCUCAGCUGUCCCCAGGUGUAUCUCAGGUGUCCCCAGGUGUAUCUCAGGUGUGUCCCCAGCUGUCCCCAGCUGUGUCCCAGGUGUGUCCCCAGCCCCCCCAGGUGUGUCCAGGUGUGUCCAGGUGUCCCCAGGUGUAUCUGAGGUGUCCCCAGGUGUGUCCCCAGGUGUUCCAGGUGUGUCCCCAGCUGUGUCAGGUGUAUCCAGGUGUAUCUCAGGUGUCCCCAGCUGUUCCAGGUGUCCCCAGGUGUGUCCCAGGUGUAUCUCAGGUGUAUCUCAGGUGUAUCCAGGUGUCCCCAGGUGUAUCUCAGGUGUGUCCCCAGCUGUCCCCAGGUGUCCCCAGGUGUCCCCAGGUGUCCCAGGUGUCCCCUGUCCCCGCAGGAAGAUCCAGGAGGAAUCUCUCCGCACGUACCUGUUCACCUACAGCAGCGUCUACGACUCCAUCAGGUGGAUUUGGGCUGAAAAACGGGGA
rnacentral:lncRNA from 1 species